rnacentral:rRNA from 1 species
UACGUAGGGUGCGAGCGUUAGUCGGAAUUACUGGGCGUAAAGCGUGCGCAGGCGGUUUUGUAAGCCAGAUGUGAAAUCCCCGGGCUUAACCUGGGAAUGGCAUUUGGGACUGCAAGGCUGGAGUGUGGCAGAGGAGACUGGAAUUCCUGGUGUAGCAGUGAAAUGCGUAGAUAUCAGGAGGAAUACCGAUGGCGAAGGCAGGUCUCUGGGCUGACACUGACGCUCAUGCACGAAAGCGUGGGGAGCAAACAGG